UAGCAUUACUAGNNUUAGAGGCACUGCCUGCCCAGUGACACACGUUUAACGGCCGCGGUACCCUGACCGUGCAAAGGUAGCAUAAUCACUUGUUCUUUAAAUAGGGACUCGUAUGAAUGGCACCACGAGGGUUUAACUGUCUCUUACUUUCAACCAGUGAAAUUGACCUGUCCGUGAAGAGACGGACAUGAAGCAAUAAGACGAGAAGACCCUGUGGAGCUUCAAUUUAUUAGUACAACUAAAAACCGUACAAACCAACAGGCCCUAAACCCUCACACCUGUACUAAAAAUUUUGGUUGGGGCGACCUCGGAGCACAACCAAACCUCCGAAUAAUCCACGCUAAGACUACACAAGUCAAAGCAAACUGACACUUACAACUGACCCAAUAAUUUGAUCAACGGAACAAGUUACCCCAGGGAUAACAGCGCAAUUCUAUUCUAGAGUCCAUAUCAACAAUAGAGUUUACGACCUCGAUGUUGGAUCAGGACAUCCUAAUGGUGCAGCAGCUAUCAAGGGUUCGUUUGUUCAACG
rnacentral:rRNA from 1 species